rnacentral:rRNA from 1 species
UACGAGGGGUGCUAGCGUUGUUCGGAAUCAUUGGGCGUAAAGAGUAUGUAGGCGGCCAAAUAAGUCAGGUGUGAAAGCCCCGGGCUCAACCCGGGAAGUGCACUUGAUACUGUUUGGCUUGAGUAUGGAAGAGGGUAGUGGAAUUCCAGGUGUAGUGGUGAAAUACGUAGAUAUCUGGAGGAAUACCGGUGGCGAAGGCGGCUACCUGGUCCUAUACUGACGCUGAGAUACGAAAGCAUGGGUAGCAAACAGG